AUGCAUGAUUUGUUGCAGCUUCGACAGACAGGCACAGUCGCAGAGUACAGGCAGCAAUUUGAGGUGCACAUGUACAACAUGAUCGCACUCGACGCCACAUUGAGCUCCAAAUUUUUUGUCACCCAAUUUUUGCUCGGCCUCAAAGAUGAAUUGCGAGCCGCGGUGCGCAUCCAAGCACCGACCAGCAUUACCAGAGCCACCGUAUUUGCACGCAUACAGGAGGAGGAAUUGGACAUUCAGCGCCCUCGCCUACGACCCGCUUCUGCAGGACAGCCACCGCCACUGCCUAGCGUGCCACCGGCGUUGGGACGUCCUCCCCCAACACCAUCAGUGCCACCUGCCACUUUAGUACCCCGCAUCGUUCCGGCACCUAAGCAAGCCCCGGACGACUUCGGGCGCGAGCGGCAGCUGCGAGACUACAGACGCCAGCAUGGCCUCUGUUUUCGUUGUGGCGACAAAUACUCCAGGGACCAUCAAUGCAAACGCUCAGCGCAGUUGCUCACAAUAGAGGUGGGUGAUCAUGGGGAAGUGCUAUCUGACGAAGCCGUGCACGCGCUGCAGUUACUUGAUGAGCCAGACGGGGCUGCAGAUCCCGCGUGCUGCCUUCUUUCUGCACACGCGGUGGAAGGCACGGAAACAGCGGAAACCAUUCGCCUGCGAGCAACUGUGGGUAACCAGACGAUGCUGCUGUUGGUGGACUCGGGGAGCACGCACAGUUUUGUCAAUUCAACAUUUGCUGUCAGAAUUGGAGCAACAACAACAACACCCAUUCCUUCCAUUGCUGUACGGGUAGCCAAUGGCCAGCGACUGAACUGCACAGCCAUGGUACCGCAGCUCCAGUGGUGCAGCCAGGAACACACAUUCAGCACAGAUAUGCGUGUGCUGGACUUGGGCGUCUAUGAUGCAGUUCUCGGCGUCGACUGGCUAGCGCAACAUAGCCCCAUGAAGUGUGAUUGGCAGUUGAAAACAAUGCAAUUCGAGCGUGAUGGGACAGCAGUACACCUACAGGGAGUUAGAUCGGAUGAAUCGCCAACCCUUACUGCUUUGGAUGCUGCUUCUCUUUGGCAAAUGCAUGAUGCAAAUGAGAUUUGGGGGGCUGCUUUAAUAGAACUCCAAAUGGCGCCAAUACCAGAUUCAGCAACAGCUCAACCACCACCAGUUGUGAUCCAACGCAUUCUAACGGAGUUCAGUGAUGUCUUUGCUGAACCUACAGGAUUACCUCCCCGCCGUCAAUACGACCAUGCUAUCACUCUAGAACCGGGGGCCACACCAAUCAACUGUCGCCCGUACCGUUAUUCUCCGUUGCAGAAAGACGAGAUAGAGCGUCAGGUUACGGAAAUGCUGCGGACAGGGAUCAUUACUCAUAGUAUGAGUCCCUACGCCGCUCCUGUACUCCUGGUGAAAAAGAAGGAUGGAACCUGGCGCUUCUGCGUAGAUUACAGACGCCUGAACAUGGUGACCAUCAAAAACAGAUUUCCCCUUCCCGUCAUCGACGAGCUACUGGAUGAACUUGCUGGCGCCGCCUUCUUUUCCAAGAUCGAUCUGCGAGCUGGAUACCAUCAGAUCCGUAUGAAAAAAGGCGACGAGGAGAAAACUGCAUUCAAAACGCAUCACGGCCACUUUGAGUUCCGUGUCAUGCCAUUUGGGGUCACCAACGGACCACCCACAUUCCAAUGUGUCAUAAACUCGGUGUUCUCCGGACCAAAUCGUAAGUUCGUCAUUACUUUUCUCGAUGACAUCUUGGUGUUCAGCCGUUCUCUGCAGGAGCAUGUUGAUCAUCUGCGCACCGUCUUCUCCAUUCUGCGACAACAUCAACUGUAUGCCAAACAAUCCAAGUGCUCCUUUGCACAUCCCAGCAUUGAAUACCUCGGGCAUGUUAUUUCCAGGGAGGGCGUGGCAACUGAUAAGAGCAAGACUAGUGCCAUGUCUGCGUGGCCGACACCGACAAAUGCCACUGAACUCCGGGGUUUUCUGGGUUUGACAGGCUAUUACCGCAAGUUUGUGAAGAACUAUGGGAUUCUCGCCAAGCCAUUGACUCAAUUGCUCACUAAGAAAGGAUUCAGUUGGAUAGAUCAAGCUCAAGCGGCGUUCGACCUCCUCAAACAAGCAAUGGUGAACACCCCAGUGCUAUCUCUGCCUGAUUUCAACCGCCCGUUCUCCAUCGAGACGGACGCGUGUGAUACGGGUGUGGGCGCUGUCCUAGUACAAGAAGGCCACCCUGUCGCCUACUUAAGCAAGGCUCUGGGCACACGCAAUCAACGCCGUUCCAUUUACGAGAAAGAAUUCCUUGCGGUGAUCAUGGCGAUAGACAGGUGGCGCGCCUACCUACAAUGGGCACCAUUCGUCAUCGUCACGGAUCAUAAGAGCUUGUGCAGCUUGGGGGAGCAAUAG
rnacentral:rRNA from 1 species